CUUAAUUUGUAAAAUCAUAACCUUAUUUGAUGUUUAAUAAGCUUUUCCUUAAUCUCUCCUUAGUAUCCAAGAUAUUCGCUUAUCCAAGCAUUCUGCCGGCCCGUUUAGCUUGGAUAAGUGAGACUCUACUGUACUUGUUAUUAGAUAUUAUAUAUUAUUUGUGGGUUGUGCAUUUUCCGGGAUGUUUGGCCAUGUUCCAGAAGCAUUCUCUCCUGACAACCUCUGAGGAUGCCUGCCACAUUUAUGGCAGGCAUCCUCAAAGGUUGUGAGGUAUAUUGGAAACUAAGCAAAGGAGGUUUAUGUCUGUGGAAGGUCUAGGUUGGGAGAAAGAAGGAACUUUUGUCUGUUGGAGGUAAGCAUGAAUGUUGUAAUUAAUCACCUUGAAUAGCAUUGAAUGGCCUUGCAGCUUCAAAGCUUGACUUCAUCCUGCCUGGGGGAAUCCUUUGUUGGAAGGUGUUAGCUGCCCCCGAUUGAUUCAUGCCUGGUUUUAGAGUUGUUUAAAUACUGGGAGCCAGAUUUUGUUCAUGUUCAUGGUUUCCUCCUCUCUGUUGACAUUGUCCAUGUGCUUCCUGUGGAUUUCAGUGGCUUCUCAGUGAAACCUGACAUGGUGGUUGUGAGAGUGGUCCAGCCUUUCUGUGUUCUCAAAUAAUAUGCUGUGCCCAGGUUGGUUCAUCAAGUGCUCUGCUAUGACAGACUUCUCUGGUUGAUUUAGUCUGUAGUGCCUUUCGUGUUACUUGAUGCAUGUCUGAGCAAUACGGCUGCGUUUGGGGGUCCCUCUGUAGACCUAUUUGUAUAUGGUAGGUAGACUCCUGCAGAGGGGAGAGGAUCCAUCUUGUCCUUCACUGAACAUGUGCCCUGUCACACGUUGCUGUGGCAUAGUCCUAAGUGGGGUUUUCUUCAUAGUAUUCAAGGCGGUCUAGAAAGGAUUCCCCUAGGUAUGAAGCAGCCAGGCUUUGAAGCUGCAAGGCUAUUCAGUGGUAUUCAAGCUGGCCAACAAUGGAGUCCCCUAGGUAUGAAGCAGCCAGGUUUUGAAGCUGCAAGGUCACUCCUUGGAAAGUGAGGAGUAUUUUGGCCAAAUUUGGUGUGAUUUGGCACAGUGGUUUUGUUGUUAACUCAGUCCUAAUUAUGCACAUUACAUUUUUUAUAUAUAGAUAUAUAUAU